CCGCUCCCCGCCUCCUGCUGGGCGCGGCCCAGGCUGCUCUGGACGGGCUGUCCAAUAACACUGACGCCCGCCUCUCCGGGGUAACCGUCGCCGCCACCCCAGCAGGCCUGCUGACGCCUCAGCGCCGCACACUGACCGGCCCGGGCUCGCAGAUGGGGAACCGAGGCCUCGUGGUCACACCUAGCUGCACGGAGAAGGCACGAUGUUAAGUGGAGAGUGGACACAUCCGACCACAGUUAUUUUCAGAAGUAUUAUCAUCAUUAUUAUUUUGAGAAGAGGAGCAGGAAGAUCUGGACACAGAGACACAGGCUCAUCGGAAGAAGGCUGAGUGACAGGGGAGAGAAUACUGUGGCUGCUGACUGGGGAGCACCAAGGACUGCACAGCCGCAGACGCCCAGAGAGACCCGGACCAACUGUCCUCCAGCAGGACCAUGAGGAGGGUUCCAGGCCCCCGCUGCUCCUGGUGGCUGCUCCCUAGGGCGGCCGGGAUGUCCUCCAACGUGGCCCCCAGGCAGCGGUCUGGGCAGGCAGGGCCAGCAGGGGACUUGAGGACGACGGUGGACAUGAGCUGCCACCGAAGGCCACACCCACAAGAGGACAGAGAAGCCGGCAGUGACACCCACAGCGGGGAGGCAGCCAGCGUCUGCGGAGGCCUUUCCCGUCCUCAGCCCCAGGGCCUGACGCCCGGAGACAUCGUAAAAGCGAUCCCUCAGCAACCCCCGGAACUUGCUGUGCACCAGGUGGCCAUCCAGUGGUUACCAUCAAAUCUCGCUUAAUCUUCCCUGCAGCUCCACGGGGCAGGGUCUUGCUGAAUUGCCAAGUUG
rnacentral:lncRNA from 1 species